UCUUUGCGGAAACGCUUAGUUGACUUGUCUACGAAUUGUAAUCAUAAUAUGGGYGACGGUGAAUCCUUUGCAGACGACUUGAAUGGGAACGGGGUACUGUAAGUGGUAGAGUAGCCUUGUUGCUACGAUCCACUGAGGUUAAGCCCUUGUUCUAAAGAUUUGU
rnacentral:rRNA from 1 species